UAUAGACAGCAGGACGGUGGCCAUGGAAGUCGGAACCCGCUAAAGAGUGUGUAACAACUCACCUGGUGGA